GGUGCGAUAGUGUAAUGGUAUCACAACACGUUGUGGCCGUGUUAAUCUGAGUUCGAUUCUCAGUCGCGCCA